rnacentral:rRNA from 1 species
UACGUAGGUGACCAGCGUUGUCCGGAUUUACUGGGCGUAAAGAGCGCGCAGGCGAUCGUUCAAGUCGAGUGUGAAAGCCCCCGGCUCAACUGGGGAGGGUCGUGCGAUACGGGCGGACUGGAGGCCAGUAGGGGGAUGCGGAAUUCCGGGUGUAGUGGUGGAAUGCGUAGAGAUCCGGAGGAACACCAGCGGCGAAGGCGGCAUCCUGGACUGGUCCUGACACUCAGGAGCGAAAGCGUGGGGAGCGAUCCGG